GGAUCGUUAUCUUCAUAAAAAAUGAUUGGACUUAUAUCAAGAACCAGAACCAAAAUAGAGAUUUGUUAACAACAUAAAAAUAGAUUAUCAAAUUUAUAGUUUGUUAAAAGAUUAUGAAGUUAUAAAAAUUAAGGUCCAGAAUUAAAAGAACAAAAUAGUGACCCAUAGAAAGUGACCCAUAAGCAUUUCAUUCUACUGGAGUAUUCUGUAUAAGAGAGUUGCCACCUCUAAUGGAGCUCUUUUUUUCUCUCCUUGCCCAUACUCCUGACAGCCAGUAUAAAUAAAGUGAAGUCAUCCAUUCACCAGCCUGGAAAUCAUUUAAAUUAUGCUUCCCACCUUCAACUUCACAUCAUCUUUUGCCAGAUUUCCCAGAUCUAUCUGCCCAUGAGCUUCUUACUGGCAUUCUCCUGAGCCAAUUCAACUGAAAGGUAUGACCCUCUUCUAACUUAACUCCUAACUGGUAAGGAAUCAUGUCACUUCUUACUACCACCCUUGGGAACUAGAUGAUCUGAGCUCUUACACAGUAUGAGUCAGAAUCAACUGAAUUAGUUGAUUGGAAUCACAGAAUCAACUGUGAAUCAGUAAUAGAAUCGAUAUCCAUGAUUCUGGGUAGUGUACCCAAAUCCAACUUUCAGAACUCGGGAUUUCAGUCAAGGGGACAAAGUUUGAUCAAAAUUCUUGAGUUCCACAAUUCUUCCUCCAGAUCUCAGCUUGACACUAACCCUCUCCAUUAAAAGAGGAUUUACUUGUGCAGCCUUUGUCCUCCAGCUGUGUUCCACACACAGCAGUCAGAAGUCUGCUGGGCUUCCAGUAUGAUAAUCCCAACCACCUAGUGGUUGGUGGGGAUUCCCAGCCACCUCUACUGUGACUUGCCAUUUCCCACUGUGCAAUUGACAUAAGAAAUGAGAGCCAGUUAUGAAAAUGCUCUAGUUCUCUUUCCCUUGACUGGAGUCUCUGUGUCCACACUACAUUAGAGCCUAUUAACUACUCCCAAAAUAACUGAACUGCUGUAUCCUUGUCCUUGGCCAGGUUUAUUUAUGUUUCCAAAGGUAAUGAUUCCAUGUCCAUAGGAAAGCAGGCAGCCUUGAAUUUCUGUUUUUGUAUUUGAAAGUAGCAUUUCUUUUCCUUCAUCUGGGCACUUUACCCCUUUGAAGAUGGUGCCAUUUUGAUAGUGGUGAACAAUAUAUUGAUUAAUAGCAUGGGUCCAGAAGUAGUCCACAGCACCAUUGACAUUCUCUAACCAAGGCUGUGGCCAUGUCCAAAAUUGUGAGUGACACACUAAUCCUGCAGGUACAGUUCUUUCACCAUCUUAAAUCCUUAGUGCUUUUGAUAAAAAUCUGUGCACUUUCACAUGCAUAGCUUAUGAGAGCACUCUCCCCUUCUCCACCACAAGGAAUGGAGGAACCUGUAUUACUGCACCCUGGGACAUGCUCCACAAUGAAGACAGAACAAAUUCUGGCAAGCAAAGGGACAGAUUCCUGGUUUGUGAAGUGUUGUCUGUCAUUCUGGGCAACCUUCUGGCCCCCUCUAAAUUUUGCACCUCUGCUUCAGAUUAAAGAAGAGGAUAUUCAGUAUCAUGUCAGACUCUAGGCUGACACAAACUCAGAAGCUUCUCUCAGCUUCCAAGCCCAAUUUCUCUAAAUUCAGCUCCUGGCUAAUAAAGAGCCACCUGUGUUUCGAUAGGCAUCUCCUGUUAGGUGACUAGCACCUCAUGCUUUGUCCCCAUGCAUGUGAAGCAGCAUUUCAAGAGGUUACUUGGUGUGGGUUAUGUUGGGUACACACACAUUCGUUUGUAGCCUUGCAUGACUGGCACCUCCAGAUUGUACAAUAAGCCUAGAAAACCAUGUUUUAGUACCAUUAUCUCCAUGACCUGCCUGGUCCUGUCACUACCACCUCCUCCCCUGCCUUUGCCUUGAAUCCCUGGGAAAUGCAUUGCUAAGCUGGGUUCACUGUACAUUUUGUUUGUUGGAAGCAGGGGAAUCACUGCCACUUGGCAUAGGCCUGUAUUUGGGCCAAGGCCUGCUGCCAGGUUAAGAGCCUCCUGCAUCUUGGUGACAGAUCCAGGAGAUGUAUUCUAUCAAAAUGGCUGCAGUCUGAAGGCCCUCCACUGAGAUUACAGUCUGCUUUCCCAGAGUACACCUCCUUCUGGUAUGAGUCUUCUUGAAAUCAGACCUCUGAGAUGCCUGUUCAUUCAUUCAUCCAUAUUUGAGGAACCACAAAGUAACUAAGUGGCCUGUUUGAUAUUCCUGAGCCAACUUGAAUAUAUUUAUGGUUAAUAGUGCUUGCCUGGUAGUGGCUUUAUUAUAUUCCGUAUGAUUAACAGUUUAUCGUAUGAGCUUCUUGACUAAGGGAAUCACCCUUGCCUGAGCACUAUUCUCUACUUUUCUAAUUUGGGGUAGUAUGGCUAUCCACCUAGGCAUUCUAAUCUGCCCCAGCAUUAUCUUUGACUCAGUCCAUAACCGUGCAUUUUUAAGAACCCAGAGUUCCUCAGCAUGAGCUCUUCUGCCAGCUGACCUGCAUGGCAUGCAAGAUUUUAGCAGUUAUUCAGAAGAACUUUUCUCUGCCCCUUUCUGAGCCAGAUUAUACCCAACACAUGCAGGGAGUGCUAGGAAGAGCUGUUCACCCCAUCCUUGCUUUUCUAGUCAAUUGGCCACGUAGAUACCCUGACUGUGGCAGGAAGUAAAGGACCAUUAUUGAGACCCUGAGAGUUUAGAGGUCUCUAGCUAGUAAUGUGCCAUCUUCAGCAGCUGCCAGCCCACCUUCUUUUACCUCUCCACCUAGUACACAAAGACAGUUCCCAGGACACAUGUGACCAUUCCAUCUCAAGAGAAGCAGACCCAGGACUCACCUUCCCUAUGAGAACUUUCCUCUCUUCCUUCGAAGCUGCCCAGUGGGCAAUUCCAUCAGAAAGACUUGAGAAGGGGAGUCAUAUCUAGACUUGUUUAUUCUUCAUGUUUAUGGGCUCCCAUGAACAGCCAUAAAACUGCUUGCUCUUUGGGGGAAGACUUGUUAGCAAAUUUCCCUUCUCAAAUUCCUCUAAUCCUCCUCUCUCAGGUCUUCCUCAUCUCCCCUGACUGAUUUUACAAUGGGGUUCUUUCUCCCUACCCCUCUAAGUUCACCCACCUCUGGCAGGAGCAUGUCCCUGAAGUGUUUCCUUCCUCUGACUGCUUUUUGUUUGUUUGUUUUUUUAAUUGUCUAGUUUUUUUCAAUAUCUUCAUUUAUUUAUUUUCAUGUGGUGCUGAGGAUUGAAACCAGCACCUCACACAUGCGAGGCAGGCGCUGCACCACUGAGCCCAGCCCCAGCCCUUCAGUGACUGCUUUUUAAAUGGCUCUUUGACUCUAAAGCAGACUCAGACUGUGCCUGAGCCUCAGAGUCUUAGAACAAAAUAACACUAAACUAUAUGCCUUUGGUAGAGAAAACAAUUUAACUCACUCAAACAUUAGCAAUGCCUGAGCCUCCUGCUGUCUAAUUCCUCUCCUUCCUUUUCCCUUUGCAUUUUUUCCUACCCUCCCAUAAACUACUGGAUUAGCUAGCAGGACAAUGUGGAAACAAAGACAGAGACACCUUCUCUGUCUAGCUUGAGGUGUUCCAUUCUCCUUGGCCAACCUAAUAGCACUAAAUAUAUUUUUGGUAAUAUUUUCACUUUCAGUAUUUUUAUACCAGUUUGUGAAGGGGAAAAAUUUACAAGGCUUGAUUGUUUCUCAUCUCUUCUGUAUUUCUCAGUUUGCUAAUUAUCAUUCCCUGCAAGUACCAGAAUUUGGUAGUACUAACAUACUCCUUGCGUUCUGUGUAUCACACAUCGAUAUCCCUCCCAAAAAAAUUGUUGAUG
rnacentral:lncRNA from 1 species